AAUACCCUCCUCAUGCACACAGCCAAACAUAACUGAUGUCACUUGAUUUUGGAAGUUAAGCAGAGCUGGGCCUGGCUAGUACUUCAAUGGGAGGCCAUCAAGGAAUAUCAAGAUUU
rnacentral:rRNA from 1 species